UAACGCGUGAGCAAUCUGCCUUUGGAUGGGGAGGGGGUAACAGCCGGAAACGGCUGCUAAUACCGCAUAAUGNAACCCGGGACGCAUGGUUCUGCUGCCAAAGAUUUAUUGUCCAAAGAUGAGCUCGCGUCUGAUUAGCCAGUUGGCGGGGUAACGGCCCACCAAAGCGACGAUCAGUAGCCGGACUGAGAGGUUGAACGGCCACAUUGGGACUGAGACACGGCCCAGACUCCUACGGGAGGCAGCAG
rnacentral:rRNA from 1 species